rnacentral:rRNA from 1 species
GUGGGGAAUAUUGGACAAUGGGCGAAAGCCUGAUCCAGCCAUGCCGCGUGUGUGAAGAAGGUCUUCGGAUUGUAAAGCACUUUAAGUUGGGAGGAAGGGUAGUAACCUAAUACGUUGCUACUUUGACGUUACCGACAGAAUAAGCACCGGCUAACUUCGUGCCAGCAGCCGCGGUAAUACGAAGGGUGCAAGCGUUAAUCGGAAUUACCGGGCGUAAAGCGCGCGUAGGUGGUUCAGUAAGUUGGAAGUGAAAUCCCCGGGCUCAACCUGGGAACUGCUUUCAAAUCUGCUGAGCUAGAGUACGGUAGAGGGUGGUGGAAUUUCCUGUGUAGCGGUGAAAUGCGUAGAUAUAGGAAGGAACACCAGUGGCGAAGGCGACCACCUGGACUGAUACUGACACUGAGGUGCGAAAGCGUGGGGAGCAAACAGGAUUAGAUACCCCUGUAGUCC